AGAAUAGCCUUGUGAAUCCCUCAAGUUGUGGGGCAGAUCCGCGUAGGCGUUUCUGUUUCAACACUACCCUUUCCGUGCGGGCUUCCUGGUGCUGAUACGGAACUCACCAGGAGGCCCCGACACGAUGCAGUAUACUGAUAUUAGUCAUACAUCUAGGCCUCUUAUUACAGGAGCUUUUUUACAU
rnacentral:sRNA from 1 species